GCUAUAAAAGGAAAUGGUGUUCUUCCUUACCCAACCGCCUUAAAAAAGCUGAUGACGCCUGAUUAAAA
rnacentral:ncRNA from 1 species